GUAAGCUGUCGGCAGGGACAACACACCCGGGUGUCUGCUCCUCAGAAGCAGGGUGACAACAUCCAGGGUCACUGGGUCCAAGGCUGGAAGAGCCUCUGGUGUGGUAUGGGGACCAUCAGGUCAGGUCUGGAAGAACUAUGGGGACUACAGAGGCAUCAGUGCCUACAUCAGGAGCUGCUCCAGCCAGCCCCACUGCUACUAGAGAAGCCUCAGUCUGAGUGGCCAGUGCCUCAGUUCAUCAGCCUCUUUCUACCAGAGUUUCCCGUGAGGCCUGUUAGGGAGCAGCAGGAGCUGAAGAUUUUAGGCCUUGUGGCUAAAGGUUCGUUUGGAACUGUCCUGAAAGUGCUAGAUUGUGCCCAGAAAGCUGUAUUUGCAGUGAAGGUGGUGCCCAAAGUAAAAGUUCUACAGCGGGAUACGCUGAGGCAGUGCAAAGAAGAGGUUAGCAUCCAGCGACAGAUCAACCAUCCUUUUGUACACAGUUUGGGGGACAGCUGGCAGGGGAAACAACACCUCUUUAUUAUGUGUAGCUACUGCAGCAUGGAUCUCUACUCCCUGUGGUCUACUGUUGGUUGGUUUCCAGAGGAUUCUAUCCGUCUCUUUGCAGCUGAACUGGUCCUUGUACUGUGUAAGUGCAAAUGUGGUAAAGGAAAUAAAAAGGGGGAAAUUAAGUUAGUGGGGAGGAGAAACAGAAUUAAUAUUUAAUUUUGGAAGUCAGGAUAGAGGAGAGAUAGGGGCUACAAAGAAACUGGCAGACACACCCAUGCCCACUGUUCUCCACAGGCUAUCUCCACGACUUGGGUAUCAUCCACCGUGAUGUAAAGGUAGAGUUAAGUCUUUUCUCUUAAGUUGAGCAAGGAUCUCAAGAAGUUUCCACAGAUCUGAGAAGGCAGUAGGAAGCAGAGACGGUUAUUUGGGUUCCUAUGGAUGCGAAGGAUUUGGGUGUGGGUCCUCCAAGUAUAGGCUUGAGUGCUGAGUAGACUACCUUCUCCAGCUAGCAGCUCUACGGGAAAGAAUGCCAGGUGUGGUCAUACAUGUCUAUUCCCCAGCACUGUUGGGAGGCAGGAGGAGUGCCAUAUGUGAGGCUGGUAUAUAAAAUUCCCAGCUGGCCUGAGCUACACAGUAACACCCUAUGUCAAAAAUAACAACAAUGAAAAACCAAAUCAGAGCCAAAGGAAAAAGUAAGAUAAUGUCCUCUUGCCCAUGAUUUCAGAUGGAGAAUAUCCUGCUGGAUGAACGAGGUAUGUCUUUUCCUUCUUUAGCCCCAGGACAAGUGGUACCUCUUAAAAAACAAAACCAAAGUGAAACAAAAAACAAACAAACAAACAUGGGUUGAACAUAGUUUCCUUACUUCGUAGGCCAUCUGAAAGUGACAGACUUUGGUCUGUCUCGCCACCUAUCCCAGGGAGCACGAGCCUACACUAUCUGCGGCACUCUUCAAUACAUGGGUGAGAGAGAAGCUAAAGUUGGUAGGGAAGGUGACUUAAGGAUGUGAGUGACAGCCCGGUGUGGUGGCGCACGCCUUUAAUCCCAGCACUAGGGAGGCAGAAGCAGGCAGAUUUCUGAGUUCCAGGCCAGCCUGGUCUACAAAGUGAUUGCAGGACAGCCAGAGCUAUACAGAGAAACGGGGUGUCUCAA
rnacentral:lncRNA from 1 species